UGUAGAGACGGGGGUUUCUCCCUGUAGCCCAUGCUGGUCUUGAACUCCUGAGUUCCAGCGAUCUGCCCACCUUGACCUCCCAAAUUGCUGGGAUUGCAGGUGUGAGCCACAAUGCCCAGCCUGAAAAUACAAUUUUUAAUGGCUGCAUAGUAUCUCAUUGUUUGGCACAAUAUACACUUUUUUUCUUUCCUUAUUAAGUCAAGAACUUCCACCUUUUAAUUUAAAGGAAGCACUUCACGGCUUCUCUUUGGCACAUCCAAAUUUCCAGCAUUGCUACUCUUGUGCUUUGGGGCCAUUACAAGGUAAAACAAGGGUUACUUGAACACAAGCACCAUGAUACCUUGACAGAUGGCCCCUAAGGGACACGCAGGUGGGUGGCAGCCACAGCAUGGAUACGCUGGAGAGAGGAAUGAUUCAUGUCCCAGGUGGGACAUCAGGGGAUGGCCUGUUGGAGUAGGAGUCAGGAGGCCAGUGUGGCCAGAAUGGAAACUUGACAUCUAUUCUUAUGAUUCUUUAAGGGAAGUGAACCCCACUGUGACAGCCUGGCCUAGGCCAGAAGGCAGCAGAAUGGCAGAGGGCAGCUUCCACAGCUCCAACACCUGCUCAGGUGUUUAUGGCAGUGAGGAGGGAGAGCAUGUCCCAGAGCUGGGUUCCACUGUGCCGGGUGCUGAGAGUCCAGGGCUGACUAGGUCAUGACUCUGCUUCUAAGUUGAUUUUAUAAAUUCGGCACAGUAAGAGAUGAACAACAACAAUAAUAAAAUAGAUCAAUUAUAACAAUAUGCUGCAAUGAAAGUUAUGUGAGCAUAGUUUUUCUCUCUAUGUCUCAAAAUAUUGUAGAUCCUAGCUUCUAAGUUCAAUUUAUAAAUUAGGCACACAAUCCCAUGGGGUCGACGGAUGGACACUGUUAACAAGCAUAUGGCAUGACAGAUAGGGGAGGCUUCCUGGAGGAGGUGACAUUUGAGUGGGGCAUUGAGGGAUGAACAGGUGAAUUGGAUUUCAACAGGCAGGGAAUAUAUUAAUACCUGUUUGCUGAGAAGAGCAUAAGGGACCCAUCGUUAUUAGGGUGUGGACCCAUGGCCUUGAUCUGGGAUUAUCACUGGGAAGUAGAGAAAGCAGAGAGUGAGAAGAGGGUUCAGAAGAGGACCCUGGGCCACAUGGCCAUGUUGAAGGUGGGGUAAGAGGUGGGGCUGGAAAGUGCUGGAAGGGGGCUAAGGAGGAGCAUCAAGGCAUGAGGAACACCAGUGGAGUGGGCUGUCACAAGAUUUAAGAACGACCAACGGAGAAAAUAUCACAUAUUGAUGGGAGGCCAAGAGAGACAGGCUCUAAGGAGGGCCCAGGGCCGGCAAGCAUUUGGUCCCGGGAGACCCUGGCAGGGGCCGGGCUGGUAAAGUGGACAGGAUAGAGGUCGGGGGCAUUUGAUUCCUGCGGCUGUCAUGGUAACAAACCACUUCAAACUGAGGGGCUUAAACAACACACAUUAUUCUCUUACAGUUCUGGAGGCCAGAAGCCCAAAAUCAGUCUCGCUGGGCUAACGUGAAGGUGUCAGUCGGGCUGGUUCCUUCUGGAGGCUCCAGAAAAGAAUCUGUUUUCUUGCCUUUUCUGGCUCAGUUUCUCGGCUUGUGGCUCCUUCCUCCAUCUUCAAAGAGCACCACUCCAAUCUGCUCCUCCAUCAGGUCACCUUCUGCCUGACUCCUACAUCCCUUUCAGAAGGACCCUUGUGAUUCCAUGAGGUCCACCCAGAUCACGCAGGAUAAUGUCCCCGUCUCAAGAGGCUUAAUCUAAUCACAGUGAAAACCAUUUCCUCCUCGUCGUGGCGCAGGUCCAGAGGCUGCGCCCAUCUCUCCCACGUCAACAGUCCUGUGUCCUUGGCGAAGGACUGUUCUCUCAUUCAGUGCCUUUCCUCUCUUCCUGGGCCAAAUCCCUGCUUUGCGUCUCCCUGCAGCUCAUAAAAAGCUGAAUUACCUGAGGCAGGGAAAGCCCCACCCACUGUCAUUCUCAGGGAGGAGUGGAGUCUGCAGAGGCCGCAAUGCACAGCUUCCCUAUCCCCCUCCACCCGUGUUUUCCCAGAGCAGCUCUGUUCCAGGCCCGGGGGUGUCCCUGGGCCGAGAUGGAAUCCAGCCCUGACCACCUCCCAAAGCCAACAGCCCUGAGUGAGCGUGCAGAGAAGCAAGAGCUGUUCCUGAUGCAGAGCAAAGACAUCUCCCAGUCAAGGGGGAUGAACUGAUUUGGGACAAAAGGCAGUUGUUGGCUGAGGAAGGCAGGAUCUGGGGGAGCCCUGUGCUGAGUGGAGGUGGGUGGGUGUAUUUCCUUGGCUCACAGAGGCCUCUUGUCUGGUGGGAUCAGCUCCUCCAGCCAGUUGCCACCUGGUCCAGCUUUGGGAGAUGUGGAGAAUGACUUUCGCAGUGAUUUCCACUGGGCCAUGGCAUUGAAACAGCUGCAGGAGGGGACACAGCUGGUGCCACCCCUACUCCGUCCAUUAGAGCUGCUGUGAAGGAAUGCCACCCUCCCCAUGGGGAGUGAGGGGGCCCUACUUGCUGUGGUUGGUUCCAGGGACCAUGGGAAGAGGCAAACCCCUAUUUUCAAGGGCACAAGUUGGCUUUUAUUAAAAUAAAAUUUCAUCAUCACUUAUUCCAGUGGCUCCCAAACUUGGCUAAACAUCAGGAUCACCCAGGAUGUUUGUUAAAAAAUAAAGAUUAUGGCCGGGUGCAGUGGCUCACGCCUGUAAUCCUAGCACUUUGGGAGGCCCAGGCGGGCAGAUCACUUGAGGUCAAGAAUUCGAGACCAGCCUGGCCAACAUGGGGAAAUGCUGUCUCUACUAAAAAUACAAAAAUUAGCUGGGUGUGGUGGUGCAUACCUGUAACCCCAGCUACUCGGAGGCAGAGGCAGGAGAAUUGCUUGAACUUGGGAGGCAAAGGUGGCAGUGAGUCGAGAUAGCGCCACUGCACUGCACUCCAG
rnacentral:lncRNA from 1 species